UCAGGGGCAUGGUGAGGAUGGGUUGAUGGUUGGACUUGGUGAUCUGAGAGAUCUUUUCCAAGCUUGAUGAUUCUGUGAUUCUGUGAAGAAAACCCACCUUCCUUUUCCGACAAUAAAAUAGUAAGAGAAAACCAGACCUUGGGAUGCACUGAAAGCCUGAGAUGCUGAGACCCUGAGGAAACCUGCCUUGCUUGUCCAACCCAACAAAUGCAGCCACUGAGCUUACAAGUGAAAAAGCAGCACCCACGCUUGUUCUUGUGGCUGGGGAGCACAAACAAGCCGUUAACUGAUCCCCCUCCCCGCCCCACCCCGUGCUCUGCCUUUGGGAGCUGGUGCUCAGCUGCUGCAGUGUGAAACCUCCGCAGAGCAAGAAGCAUCUGUGCAGAGCUUGGGGCUUCCUGCUGUCACCACGCUCACCCAGUGCAGGACGGGCUGGGACAGGGCUGCAAAAAGGUGGUUCUAUGCUGAAGAAUGGCUGCAGAAAGGACAGCUGAUGCUGGAGGGGUGGUUGCACGAGGAGAUCGAGGCCUGGAGACCUUCACUCUGCACAGCACCAGGGGAAACAGCAGAGUAAAUCAGGAUGCUUCCAGAUGGCAAAGGGGGAAAGGUCUCAUGGGAAGACAUCCAUCCAGCCACACACUCCAGAAAGCCACCUGCUGUUGUGCAGUACAGGAAGCCAGCACAACAUGUGUGCUCCAGGCACGCCUCACCAACAACCUGUGCUUCUCCUGAGCUCCCAUCCUUUCCUACAGAGCUUCAAUCAGCAGUAAGAUUCUUGGCCCCAUCCUCUCCCUGCUCCUUCCCUGGACCAGCAUCUCCCAGCCCAAGCAGGACUGGAAGAAGAACU